rnacentral:rRNA from 1 species
AUGUACAUGGUCACCAUCUCGGACUUGUCUGCGCCGUCUCUGCAUUUUCCGCUGCUCAAAGACCAUUGUAUGGGGACUGUCCGGGUAAUCCGAGCACCUAAGCUGCAGGUAUUUGGUUUGGUGUCAAAGGGCAUAUCCAAACUCCACAUUGGAACCACGGUUUUUCAGGAAAUGAUUGCCAUCAGCGUGACAACCGCAAUGCGCACCGUGAAGGUUUUGGUUAUCGAAUCUGUUGGCCCUAAUUUUGAUGCGGUAAUUGGCUUCCUCAAGUGCUUCCCUUGCUUGGAGAGGCUGUAUGUCAUUUCGCGCCAAUGCAAUGAGAUGAAAAAUGUGCUAAAAUAUGACCCACUGGAUCCAAUUGAAUGCCUCGAACUCCAUCUCAAAAGAGUGGCGCCGGAGAACUACUUUGGCAACAUGGCAGAUGUUGACUUCGCCAAAUUUUUCGUUUUGAAUGCGAAAGUGCUAGAACAAAUGAACUUCGCAGUACCUACUUGCCACCGCAACGACAAAUGGAGGUCUGACCAACACAAGCUGUUACAAGUGGACAACAGAGCUUCUUCGGAUGCUCGAUUUGAAUUCACAAGUGGUUAUGGGUAUAAUGGCAUCGAUGACAAGCAUACCCAUGAUUUAUCAAUGGCCGACCCCUUUGGGAGAACCUUGCUUUGA